rnacentral:rRNA from 1 species
UGAACGCUGGCGGCGUGCCUAAUACAUGCAAGUCGAGCGAACAGACGAGGAGCUUGCUCCUCUAACGUUAGCGGCGGACGGGUGAGUAACACGUGGAUAACCUACCUAUAAGACUGGGAUAACUUCGGGAAACCGGAGCUAAUACCGGAUAAUAUAUUGAACCGCAUGGUUCAAUAGUGAAAGACGGUUUUGCUGUCACUUAUAGAUGGAUCCGCGCCGCAUUAGCUAGUUGGUAAGGUAACAGCUUACCAAGGCAACGAUGCGUAGCCGACCUGAGAGGGUGAUCGGCCACACUGGAACUGAGACACGGUCCAGACUCCUACGGGAGGCAGCAGUAGGGAAUCUUCCGCAAUGGGCGAAAGCCUGACGGAGCAACGCUGCGUGAGUGAUGAAGGUCUUCGGAUCGUAAAACUCUGUUAUUAGGGAAGAACAAAUGUGUAAGUAACUAUGCACGUCUUGACGGUACCUAAUCAGAAAGCCACGGCUAACUACGUG